UGGCAGCCCACGAAGGUAUCACGGUUU
rnacentral:piRNA from 1 species